rnacentral:misc_RNA from 1 species
GGCUUAGUUGAGUUGAGUAGAUUAAGCUGUGUAUUUAAACAGUGUGGUUCUCAGAAAAUUAGCUAUAAUAAUUUAGCUAUCUAUAAACAACUUGUAGAAUAUUUGAUCUCCUUAUGGCCAUAGGAAAUAAUAAACAAUGCAACUAUUGAAUGAAUGGCAUACAUGAAUUAUACUGACGUUAUUAUACAUACUCAGUUGCUAGAAAACCAUCCGUUAAUCCACCAAUAAAAAUGAUUUGCUGUUUAUGAUUAC